AAGGUAUCUGAUUACUGACGGAUAAUUAAGUGGAGAAACCACGUGGAAUCAGAUAUUAGAAACGCCGACCGUCUGGGCAGUAUUU
rnacentral:ncRNA from 2 species